CUUAGGUGACGCAGCGGGCAGCCACGGGCAUGGUCAGCCUGGCCCCGGGGCCCGGUAGCUGAUGGACGGGGUGCCCGCACCUCUGAGGUCCUGGACAGCAGUCCGUCGCCUCCCCGGCUCCGAGCCCCGCGGCCCCAGCACGGCCUCACCCUCACCUCCCACACUCAGCUACACCCGCAGAGACCCUUUCCCCAAUGCCCCGCACUGUGAGCCCCGGAGCCUCAGGAAGGCGCUGGGGAGAAUUACGAGGCCCUGAACGAUGGCGCCCCACACAGCUCCACGCUCUGUCCCCCAACAGCGUCGCUCUGACUUUCCACGGGCUGGGCUCAGAUUUGGAGCCCUCCUGCCUCAGCCUCCCACAGUGCUGGAGUAACGGGCGCACACCGUGCCCAGAGACAUGUUUAAAAUGCGAUUCCAGAACAUUCCCACCACCCCAAAGACCCGGCAUCCAUCAGGCAGCCGCUCUUCAGGUCUCCCUGGAACAGCCCAGUGUUCAUCAGCCAGACGGGAAUGGUGCACGGACCGGGCGGAGCUCAUACCUGCUCACGAGCGACUGAGGGUCCGACCUGUCGGUCUCUGACCGCAGCACCGUCUCUGGGGGGGGGGCGGGGAGGCUGGAACUAACAGGGUUUCCACAGCCAGCCCUGUGCUGAAUCAUUUAUGGUGCUUUUGGGUGUGGAAUACUAUACAGUCCCAAAAAAGAAAAAACCAGGCACGGUGGUGCAUCCCUCUAAAUCCAGCUUCUGGGAGGCUGAGGCAGGAGGAGCCCCUGUACGUAGAGCCAGGAUUGGGCAGCCCAGCAACGCUAUGGGAAAACAGAAACAGGCCGGGCCAGCCGCACGUGAGUUUCCACGGGAGAUUCCACCGUUCUCCGGCACCUUUAACUGCAGGCAGAGUGCAGAAAGACGGGUGAACCGAGGCACGGCUUGCACCUGAAAUAUUAAAGCAGCUGACGGGGCCAGCUCAGAACACACAGACUUUCAGUUAGAAAUGAGCUCCUCGGGGAAGAGUCCACAAAGCAGGAGCCCAGAGGCGGGCAGGGACAAACAGCGUCCCUGUCCUCAGAAAAUGCCCAUUGCUACAGAAUGAACCAUUGAGUCUGACGAUUUCUUUUACUGUGCACAGACCCUAGAGGAAGACCUGGGCCGGGCUUCCGCGGUUUCCCCGCCUUGAUCUCGGGGAGCGGACCCCCAGGACGCUGCAAACCCGCCUGGCUGAGGCCGCACCCCGGCCGGCUCCGUGCUGGGCUCUGCGGUGAUACUCAGCUGUCCUGCAUCUCUGCAAAUCCCGGCUCGGAGCGGAGCUCAGCCCAGCACCGGCCACCGCGGGCAGGUUUUUUGGAGGGCACAGCAGGAGACCCAGGACAGCCUCCUGGUCCCCGAUCCCGCCCGGCCUGUCUGCCAACUAAAUGAAGCUAAAGAAACCCAGCCCCUGCUUUUGAAUGUGUUCGAAAAUAUCAAAACAUCUAGAUAAUUCGUUGGGAGAUUUUUCUAGGAAAAGCGGGCUGCAGCCGGGGUGGUGACGCCCGCGGGGCCCAGCACCCCUCGGGAGGCUGAGGCAGGAGGGUCCCCGCGAGCUCGAGCCCGGCCUGGGGAGCUCGGCUUGGGCUGGUGCGUUUGGGUCUUGCAGGCCCGAGAUGUCCGCUUGGCUUCAUCAUUUAUGGGUCUGCAGCGAGGUGAAGCCCCGAGAGACAGAGGAGAAAACGGGGGUCAGUGACUCCCCCAAAAGAGCCCUCUGGGGCUUGCUGGCCCCCACGAUGCCCCGCUGUGCGCCCAGCCCUGGGUUCAUCUGCGGGUGACUUCAGAGCGCUCAGGACCCGGGGUCCCCCCUGCGAUAUCGGGGACACCGGCUCACUGCAGCCCCGGUUUAGGGGUGCGGGCCUGGGGACCCCAGACUUACAUGCAGCUCGUCCUCGAGGGCUGGGGCUCAGCUGGGUGUAAGUCAGGCUUUGCAUCAAGAGAGCAUGAAAGCCUCUCAGGCUUUGGGUUCGUUUUGGUCUGUUACUCCAGGGGGCUGAUAGGAUACUCGGGUGUGGUCACCCCCGGUCACCCCGGAAAGCCUCAUGUUUGGAGCCAGACAGCGCAGGGCCCAGGGUUUAUAUAGACUUUCCUAGGCCACGCCCCUAAGGACAUGGCUACGCCCCCAAUGAUAUAACAUCCUCCUCAGGCCCCGCCCCUUAAAGGUCCCGCGCCUUCCCAGGAGCCCUGCAGACGGGGAACAAAGCCUUCCACACACCCAGUCGCCGCGGGCCCUUUAAGAUGCCAAGCGAUGCCCCCUGUUUCCUGGGGGCCAAAGCUUUGAAAAGGGGGCUGUGUUUUACACUGCAGGUCAGGACAGGGCGGCCCCAGGGGACCCUGAGUGCUCAGCCUCCCGGAUGGAGCAGGAGGCAGAUGCAAAGGCCAGGGGGUCGGGGGUGGGGUGGGGGGCUCAUGAGGGCUGUGUCAGCACUGAGGGCCUGAGGAGCCGGGAGGGCCCGGGAGUGCCCUGCCUCGCCGCCCCGAACCCUGACCCCCACCCCAACCCUGACCCCACAGGCUUAGGGAAAGGCCCAGACCCUGUCACCCCGCAUCCUCCAGGCCGUUGCGGCCCUGAAGUGGGAGGUCUGCUCCCAACCUGCGGGUGGCGCCUUAGGAAGAAAGAGGGUCCCUGCAUUAGAGGGACUCUGGAGAGGAGACCCUCCUGCCUCGGCCUCCUGAAUCCAACGGCAGCGUCCUCAUGACGGACAGAAGAGAGGACACAGACACGGAGGUGGAGGCAGAGCCUGCAGGGACAGGGCAGCGGCCCAGGGCCAUCUGGACUCGGAGGAGGAGGCAGAGGCAGGAGGGUGUCCACCAGGUAGCUGCCCAGUGGUGGGUCCUACGGGGCUUCUUUCCAGGGACCUGGUGACCCAGAGAAAAGCCGCACAUUUCCUGGAGGUGGGAAGAGGAGAAAUCUCCAAGAGAAGGCUCCCCACGGCCCCCAGGUAACGGCAAAGUGGUCUCUUGCACCCAGCCUCCCUGAGCGGGCUCUGGGUCGUGCGCAUGCGGCCCCGGGACGUCCGCCCUAUCAGAAACUCCUUCAUACUGGCGCCAGAUAUGAACCGUCCAAUGGAAAGGCUCGCCGGGUUCCCAGCGGAUGUAAAUGACAAUCAGGAGCCGCGUGUUCGGAUUGGCUGUGCCCACAUGCAAAUGAAGGGCCCAACAUCACAUCUUCUGAUUGGCCCUGGGAAGAGUACUGGAUUUACGUAAAGAACUGGAAUAAAGUAACGCCUUCUCUGAUUGGUUCCAGGGCCGGGCCAGGACCAGGCUGGUCUUCAGGCCACGCCCCGCUCACCUGGCCCGCCCCGGGUUUCCGGGUUCCCAGGGCAUCGGGUUUAGGGGUCCUGGCCGUGUCCUCCAGGCUUCACCUGGGUUCCUCCUGUUAAACCCUCAGAGACACAGGCCACGAACGGGCCUUGAUGGGUCGGUGGAGGCAACCAGAAUCCAGGCUCGCAAGUGAAGUAAGUCAGGCUGGCAUUGUCUCGCUGCUGUGAAACACAAAUACGAUCGAAAAGUCACACGACAGACAGUCACAGGGGAAGGGAGAUUGUGUCCGUGGGUCAGCCCUGCCCGGCUGGGUCUGGCAGCCCGAGCCACGGCCUUUGGGAGGCACAGGGCACCCCGCAGCCCUGGCUGAAGUCCUGCCGUGUGGUUUGAAAUGCUGUCUCGCUCUGCUUUUGACCCUGUUGUGGUCAUCUUGACUUUGUGGUUGUUUUUUAAUCCAGAGAGAGAGACAAACAGAGUUUCCAGCCGUCCAGACUGGUCCGCCGGCUCCCUGCCGGCCAAAUGUAAAAGUCAGUCACUUACCGGGUGACGGGGCAAAGCCUUGGUUAAACGCCAGCUCCAGGGAGAUGGGGCUCCGCGCACCCGGCCACCCCCGGCUGCCCCUCUGCAGCUGAGCUGGGUCCCGCACAGCCGGCUGGUUCCCCGAGCUCGGGUCCUGAUGCACCAAGCCGGGCUCCUUCUCAGGUGCAGCGGCCCCAGGACAAAGGCUCAGGGCUUGGGCGGAUCCGACCUGGCGUCCUCCAACCUGACGGGAGCCGGACCCUGGCUCAAAGGGACAGAAAGACAAACUGCUGCAAAGCCACCGACUGACUGCGUCUGGGCUCCAGGAAGAGAGACCUAAGGACGUCGAGGCGCCCCAGACCCCGCAGCCCGCGGGGGCCACGCAGAGCUCGGCAAACCUCGCAAGGCCUCGCGGAGCUGGCACAGGGCAGGCUGCACCCGGGUGCCGCCUGCAAACCCCGAAGGCUGAGGCCCGGGGUCCCCGCUAUUUGCUCCUCUGUCCCCGAGAACCCGCCCAGGGCUGCAUCUGCUUGGCUCCGUCCGCAGCUCUGGCCUCAGCGGAGGUGUCCGUCUGUCUGUCUGUCUGCCCAUCAGCUGCAGGUCAGCACCGGCGGCCCCAGCACCGCUGAACGGCUGGGGACUGUGACCCCAACACCGGGAGCCCCCGAGACGCCGGGCCGGGCCUGCGGCAUCUGAUUCACGGCCCGGGACUCCUGGAGGACAGAGCGGCCGGGUCAGAACCGAUCCGGUCUCACCGUGCAGCCCAGGCCGGCCUUGAGCUCACUGUGCAGCCGAGGAUGGUCUUGAAUUCGAAGAGAUCCUCCCGCCUCAGCCUCCCGAGCGCUGGGAUGACAGGCGUGCACGCCCACGCCCAGCCUUUGCUUCAUUUUAUUUUAUUUCAUUUUUUUUUAUCAGUACCAGGGAUCGAACUCAGGACCGCCUGCUUGCAAGGCAGGUGCUUAUGCCGCUAAGCUAAAUCCCCAGCCCCUCUGAUUUAUUUUUAACCAGCAUGUAAUGGUCCGGAUUUCCAGGGUGCCCUGUGAGGUUCCCGGGGGCGCCUGCAGCCGGCACUGGGCACACUUGGCCUCACAGACAGGAGCUGUGGCUGUGCCACGAGACGCGGGCGCCCCCUUCUCUAGCCGCUUUGAAGUCUGUAUUUUGUCGGGAAGCACCGCGGACAUCGGGACCCCCGGCCCUGAUUCCAGCUGCUGGGAGGCUGAGGCAGAAGCAUUGUGGGCACCUGAGCAAACCCUGUCUCAAAAUAGCAAAAUAAAGCGAGCUGCCCAGGGGCUCGGUGGGGGGUUAGGUGAGUCCUGCAGCCCCCCGUGUCCCCCCCAAACCUCAGCUCACGGCCGGCUCUACCUGAGCUGGGCCGGGAGGUGCACAGCUGCCGUGCGGCACUUUGAGGGGGGCUGAGGUGGGAGGAUCCACUGCCUUCCUUUUCCUGGCUAUGUAAUAUUCCCUCGCACAAAGGGGCCGUGUUCCGCUGACCCCUUCCUUGAACCCCUCGCCCUUGGGCUGCUUCCGCCUCUCAGCUCUUGUGAACAAAGCUGCUCGGGCCGUGACUAUCUCUUUCCACUUCUUCCUCGGCUUGAUUUUCAAGCUAUUUUUAUCGGUGUCGGGCUGUCUCGGGACCCAGGAGUGGCGCGGAGCCUUCGGGAGUUAAAUCUCCUCUCUGUGCCGUUUGCUAUGAAAACACUUCACCAAGCCAGCGUCCUCCGCGAGGGACACCGAGUCCGUCUCCCCACCGAAGCGGUGAGAUAAAACUUUAAUUGCACGGCUUCUCUGAGAGCUGUGAUUCCCGCCCCGUCAGCAGCUCUGCUCCCUCUAGAAUUGCAAAUUAUUUGAAGCCGUCCCGCCUUCCCCGUGGGUCUUCUCGUCGUGAGGAGCCGGCCACAAGCAGCAGCCUGUGUGGGUCAGCGAGCGGAGCGGGCCCUGUGGCCUCCCCGCCGGGCACGAGCCCUGAGGACGGGGAAGGUGGCCUGCAUGGCCGUUGACCGCAGGACCUUGGACAGGCGGGGAGGCAGCGCUGGCGGGGAGCGGGGCUCCUUUCUGGACGCCGGCCUCCAGCCUGCGUGUUUAGAGGCCGAGAGAAAGUUUCACACAACAACCUUCCUCCAGCUCAGCAACACGGGCGCAGCGUGCUCCUGGUUGGUGCAAACACUUUAUUCUGUGUGCGAAGCAGCUUUACCAGCAUGACACGCGUCACGUGAGUCGAUCUCAGCGCCGUAACCGUGUGCGUGGCUGUAAUGAUUGCACCUCAUGGCCACACAUAACCAUCAAUGCAGGAGAAAAAUAAUCAUAUCACGAGCAAAGAUUAUAAAUGCAACGCGUAACUCAUGCGACACUGUUUUGUAGACUUUUUGGUUGGCUGUAUUGCAGGAAACCUGCAACAUUUUUUAUUGUUGAAAAAUCUGCUAAAAUGCAGGUGGCCGUGUGGGUUUGCAGACUGGGCAGCCCCAGGGUCACGGCGGCCUGCGGACAUGUCGGGCGGCCCAGAGAGGCUGCAGAGAUGGUCUCACCACCCACCAGCGCUCUGAGCCGUCCGGAGUUUAAACCUGCAAAGAUUAUUCAGCCUUUGAUGACGCAGGACCUCACGGAGAGCAGCUGCUGGCGUCUCCACGGGAAUAUCCGGCGCUCGGAUCAGGCUUAACUUGACUUCGUAAAAGCUACUAAAACCGUCCGGCUCUGACAUAUUUAGGCUUCGUAGUCAGCAGGUUCCGUAUUAGAAACCGAGUUCCUUUGCUAAUGAAAUGAAUCACAGAAAUGCAGAGCCACAGCCAGCGUGCAAAGCCAAUCACAGCGACGGCCGAUGGCACGGGUUAAAAGGAGCCGUCAGAGGCCGGGUGUGCGGAGACAGCGGCCCAGCAGGACGCUUUGCAAAUCGGUUUCCAUGUCGCUGAGCAGGGAUUGUUUAAUUAAAUGUCGUCUGUUUAGAUUUUCGGGCCUGUCCAGCACCCCUCCUGGGCUGCUCUGUCCUUUACAAGAUUGUGGCCCUCAGAUCCCAGCCCAGAUCGGUAGCCCCGUCUCCAUAUUACAAGGAAUUGGAGACCAUAUAGAGUUCCCAAGGUGACACCCCGUGACUCACCCAGUGAAUUUUGGUCCCUUCAUGGAUAUAUAUAUGGAUGUAUCAUUUGUCAGGUUGCUUUACUCCAAGUAAGAUGAUUGCUAACUGCACGGGUUGUUGAAUGAAUAUUUUGUUCUGCUGUUGAGUACAGGAUUUGAACUCAGGACCUUGGGUUUGCCAGGCAGGCUCUGUGCCGCUGAGCUAAAUCCCCGGUUUGCAGAGUGAAUGUGUUUUUUUCUCUCUA